UUACUUUGGCAGAAAAAUAUGCGUUAGAUUUAGAAUCUAAUUAUAUAGGAGUAUCUAUAAGUAAAGA
rnacentral:tRNA from 1 species